GGAGAUUUUAGCCUCCUACCUUUUACUGUUGGUCAGAGACCUGUCUAGGGAUAGUUGCUUGUGUUGUGAAUUCCUGCUCUCAAUGUCUACCAGGAUACCGAGCGAAACACUGUUUCAUUUUUUUGACCAGUUGUUGGAUUAUACAGUUUCCCCUGAGGACCUAACAGUGAAAUGGGAUUCACACUAAAGGCUUCCUGGAGAUUUCACUGCAUCAAAACCUCAGAAGAACGUUUGGCCUUCAGUCCUACUGUGGAUUUACAAAAUAUUUCACAGAAAACAGCAGGGGACCGUGCGCCACGGGGAGAGUGAUCCAUUUUGGGUUUUUCGAGCGGUGCGGAAUACCGAAGCAAAGUCGAUGUCGCCUUGGGACGAAGUCCGAAUCAAACCCAGAGCGCGGAAGAAAUUAGGCCAGAGGAUGGGAAAGGCCCCCCUCGAAAGAAAGCUGUGAAAAUCUGUCACGAUUAGGUUCGCCAGAAGAGUAGACAGCCUUAUUAAUACACAACCCAGAGGACCAGGAAAAAACGGGCUUGGAAUUUCCCGGUUUCAAAGAUAUCAUUAUUGGAGAACGACGGAGUAUCCCGUCAGCUGGGAAACAGCCGUCCCCGGGAAUCGUGUGCCGCUCUGAAUAAAGUAAUAUUGUCUCGAUGAGGCUUCGCGCUACAA